rnacentral:lncRNA from 1 species
GUGGAGAUCAUUGGGCAGGUCAAGCUGCCGUGCUGAGGGUGCGUGGGCAUUGCAAGAGAUGGGGUGACGUUCCAACUCCCAAGAACGAGCUGGGAUGGAAAAAUGAGAAAUUUAGGUGGCAAUAAACCUUGAGACGAUGAGGCGGUGGUGCAAUGUGUUAUCGCUUGUUUCUCUCUCUCUCUCUGAUUCCUCCUGGUAUCUCUCGUUCAUUCCCCCCUUUAUCUCUGCUAAUUAAUGUCUCUCUCCAUGAUUGAGGAUACCAGUCAUUAGAGAUUGCUAUUGCAUGAACGUAGUUUGCUUGCUCAUCGAUCUCCUGGAGUGAUUCAAACCUGCCACUUCACUUGUGCAAGGAACCCAGUAAGAAGUUACAUUUUUAAUUUUUAAUUUUAUUGUUGCUGGUUAGUUUAUUGGUCAUGUAUGCCACAGUGAUAAUUAAGGAUAUACUGCAAGUACCGAGAAACUAAUAAGUUGAUUCAGAACAAAUAGAACCGAUUGAUGAUGGCAACACUCAAAUAUACCCCAUGUGCUUCAAAUGCCUAGAAAUAGUGAGAGUGAUUGGGUUAGCCGCUUCCCAUCUCCAAUGCCAGCAACAUAAAUGAUUGUGAUUCUAACGGGUUCAGAUGCCAUAAUAUGUAUAGAUCUACAACAUAACAACAGACUUAUGCAAGCUAUUUUGACUAUUUACUAAGAAUGUGUGCAAUAGUAAGUUAAAAACAGGAAACCAUAUUUUCUAUUUCCCGUUAAUUAACAUGUCAUCUCAGAAGGUGUGCAAUUGAUGAUGCAACCAACUCAUACCAAAUUUACAAGACGUAAGUAACUAAACUGAAGCACGUCCACUCAUAUAUUAGGACCAUCAAUUUACUUUAGUUACAUGAACGGUUUGAGUUCUUGUUUUUAUGAGAUUCCACGCAGGUAGGGUAUAAUAUACUAUAUCAUGAGUGGAUGAGCAGGAGAGUACUAAAUAAAACUCUCGCAUUGUUGGUUUCUUCUUUUCUUAAUUAAUUUGUAUAUUCGGUUGUAUGCCUCAUAUAUUAUUUCAGGGUCCUUCAAGUUGUCUUAUCGAAACUCAGAGAAUGGACUUAAGAAGAAAUUUCAAAAAUAGGAAUUCUGACAGCUUGAAGGGUUCUUUUCAUAGAAGUUGAAACAGAAGUGGUAGAGGUUUGUCUUGAUCGUACAAGAAAAUUGGCAGAUAACUACACCGGUCUCCAAUAUUUCUUGAUUUUAAGUAAUGGGCGGAACCCGGCUUCAGGCUUGGUUCAUUGCUUUUUGAGUAUCUAUCAGUAGAUUAUGACAGGAAAUCUGUAUGUUGCAAACUGUGUAGGCAAAAAUUAUGACGUAUUUAAGAGCUGAGAGAAUGGUGUCAAAAUGUGGCUGAUUACCUUUCAAAUUGUGUUACAG